CCUCCUUUCUAAGGAUGAAUGAAAGUAAAAUUUCAUUCUAAAUAAUAUACAUCGGUAAUGUUGACCGUCCUCAUUUCUCUUCUUAAAGUAAUGUUUCCUUCUUGUAGGGCCGGUAGCUCAGUUGGUUAGAGCACACCCUUGAUAAGGGUGGGGUCGAAAGUUCGAGUCUUUCUCGGCCCACCAAAAACCUAAAUGGGGGAUUAGCUCAUCUGGGAGAGCGCCUGAUUUGCAUUCAGGAGGUAGCAGGUUCGAUCCCUGUAUCCUCCACCAGGAAACAUUUAGUUAUUAAAACUGUAAAUAAAAAUAAUUUAUAUCAAUAUCUAUAUCCGAACAUUAAAAGUUAUUAUUUAAUGUUCAAAAUAAAAAUUUGAUCACAACGCAGAUUAAAUUUCUUUAAAAAAGAAUUUUUUUCUGUGCAUAAAUCAAGCGUUUAAGGGCGUGUAGUGGAUGCCUUGGCACUGAAAGCCGAUGAAGGACGUGAUAUACUGCGAUAAGUUUCGGGGAGCUGU
rnacentral:misc_RNA from 1 species